AGCGAACGCUGGCGGCAGGCCUAACACAUGCAAGUCGAACGGACCCUUCGGGGUUAGUGGCGGACGGGUGAGUAACACGUGGGAACGUGCCUUUAGGUUCGGAAUAGCUCCUGGAAACGGGUGGUAAUGCCGAAUGUGCCCUCCGGGGGAAAGAUUUAUCGCCUUUAGAGCGGCCCGCGUCUGAUUAGCUAGUUGGUGGGGUAAUGGCCCACCAAGGCUACGAUCAGUAGCUGGUCUGAGAGGAUGACCAGCCACAUUGGGACUGAGACACGGCCCAAACUCCUACGGGAGGCAGCAGUGGGGAAUCUUGCGCAAUGGGCGAAAGCCUGACGCAGCCAUGCCGCGUGUAUGAUGAAGGUCUUAGGAUUGUAAAAUACUUUCACCGGUGAAGAUAAUGACUGUAGCCGGAGAAGAAGCCCCGGCUAACUUCGUGCCAGCCGCCGCGGUAACAC
rnacentral:rRNA from 1 species